ACUAAGAAAAGUAAGUAGUCGCUGUAACAUGUAAUAUGGCGGGUAGGAUUCGCACAACUAUUUCCUCUGAGCAGUGUGGGCAAUUUGGUAAUCGGAGCGUGUAAUUGUUUUAGUGCAUUUAUACCAGUUCUACUGACUAGAGUAUGGAUAUUGACCUAGAAGGAGCGUUUAUUUUCCCCCUUAAGAGAUUUAGAUGCUUUUCUAUAUGGUGUUGUGUGACCUGUUUAAAAAAAAAAAAAAGUGAUGUGGUUGCCAAGGCAGCAUGGAGAAUACAACUAGUGACCUGGGGAAAUCAAACACUUGAGCUAGGGUUUCAGGUAUGUACCUACUACCUUGGAGUUUAAAAAUGGGAAAUGCUUACUGUCCUUUUUCUGCUUAAUGGGAUAGUGAGGGAUGUACAUUUGACUGACAGCUGAUUAAAGGGGUCUUUCCACAUGAAUACACAUUUUCUUACUUCCAAAGCAAAAUUUGAACCGUUUCAUAAGCUUUUAAAUGAACUGUGAACUUUGGAGUUACUUAUGCUGAUGUAAAGAUGAGAUUUUUAUGACUAUCAAAGAAUAUCAGAUUAAAUGGAUAAAUGAUAGUCAGGCUUUGUUGUUGCUUUUGGGUGGGGUUUUUUCUUUGGUUUUGUUCUUUGGAAAAGCAAUCUGGAGAUGCAGAGCAGCUAUUUCAUACUUGGGUUUUUUAAGUAAUGAUUUGUCUGGUUUACAAGUCCCAUCAGAAGUCAGGGUGAACUGAUACAAAUAUUUUUGCAGCCAUUCUGCUUGUUUUCCAAAUCUUGUCUGUAUGUAAAUAGAGAAAUAACAGUAUAUUACAAGCAAACUGCUAAAUCCUGAUAUGUUUGUUUCCUUUGAGAAGCCUGUUGAAGGUUGAUUUAAUCCUAGAUGUAUUACAAUGUUCUUGACACUUCUAUUUUUCAGUAUGCUGUCACCUAAUAAAAACAAAAUACUCUGUU